rnacentral:rRNA from 1 species
UCCUACGGGAGGCAGCAGUGAGGAAUCUUGGACAAUGGGGGAAACCCUGAUCCAGCGACGCCGCGUGAAGGAUGAAGGUCUUCGGAUUGUAAACUUCUUUUAUCUGGGAAUAAGAAACCCGUGGAAACACGGGGAGUGAAGGUACCAGAUGAAUAAGCCACGGCUAACUUCGUGCCAGCAGCCGCGGUAAU